AUUUUUAAAUGCCUAUCAUACCUGUAAAAUACAUAUAUUACAUUGGCUGCAUUCUCUCCAGCUAAUGCUGAAUCUCCUUUCUACCAAGCAUGAACUUCCUUGUUUCUAUGCUUUGAUGUGCCAAUGGCACUAGCUGUGCAUUUUUUUCCCCUUCAUCUGCAACUUUGUGCAUAUACUUGAGGUUUUACUAUUGGGUAAUCAAUGUGCAUACUUGUAACUAAAUUGAAUUACAAGUUAGAAUUCAUUUACUGGUGAG